rnacentral:tRNA from 1 species
GUGUAGCUCAAUGGUAGAGCAUUUGCUUGCCAGAGGUCCUGGGUUUGAGCCCCAGCAC